rnacentral:rRNA from 1 species
GACGAACGCUGGCGGCGUGCUUAACACAUGCAAGUCGGACGGAAAGGCCCUGCUUUUGUGGGGUGCUCGAGUGGCGAACGGGUGAGUAACACGUGAGUAACCUGCCCUUGACUUUGGGAUAACUUCAGGAAACUGGGGCUAAUACCGGAUAGGAGCUCCUGCUGCAUGGUGGGGGUUGGAAAGUUUCGGCGGUUGGGGAUGGACUCGCGGCUUAUCAGCUUGUUGGUGGGGUAGUGGCUUACCAAGGCUUUGACGGGUAGCCGGCCUGAGAGGGUGACCGGCCACAUUGGGACUGAGAUACGGCCCAGACUCCUACGGGAGGCAGCAGUGGGGAAUAUUGCACAAUGGGCGGAAGCCCGAUGCAGCAACGCCGCGUGCGGGAUGACGGCCUUCGGGUUGUAAACCGCUUUCGCCUGUGACGAAGCGUGAGUGACGGUAAUGGGUAAAGAAGCACCGGCUAACUACGUG